UCCCGGCCUCCCGUCGCCUUCGGGUGGCGGGGCCAAGGUCGGCGCGCUCCGCUUUGGUGACUCUGGAUAACUCACUGGUCGAUCGCACGGGCUCUACGCCCGGCGACGGGUCCCUCGAGGGUCCA
rnacentral:rRNA from 1 species